rnacentral:rRNA from 1 species
CGCGUAGGCGGAUAUCUAAGUCGGGGGUGAAAGCCCAGGGCUCAACCCUGGAAUUGCCUUCGAUACUGGAUAUCUUGAGUUCGGGAGAGGUGAGUGGAAUGCCGAGUGUAGAGGUGAAAUUCGUAGAUAUUCGGCGGAACACCAGUGGCGAAGGCGACUCACUGGCCCGAUACUGACGCUGAGGCGCGAAAGCGUGGGGAGCAAACA